rnacentral:rRNA from 1 species
UGGGGAAUUGUUCGCAAUGGGCGCAAGCCUGACGACGCAACGCCGCGUGGAGGAUGAAGGUCUUCGGAUUGUAAACUCCUGUUGCCAGGGACGAAUGGCCACGACCUAACACGUCGUGGUGUGACGGUACCUGGUGAGGAAGCCCCGGCUAACUCUGUGCCAGCAGCCGCGGUAAUACAGAGGGGGCAAGCGUUGUUCGGAAUUACUGGGCGUAAGGGCGCGUAGGCGGCCUGUUAAGUCGAACGUGAAAUCCCCGGGCUCAACCCGGGAACUGCGUCCGAUACUGGCAGGCUUGAAUCCGGGAGAGGGAUGCGGAAUUCCAGGUGUAGCGGUGAAAUGCGUAGAUAUCUGGAGGAACACCGGUGGCGAAGGCGGCAUCCUGGACCGGUAUUGACGCUGAGGCGCGAAAGCCAGGGGAGCAAACGGGAUUAGAUACCCCGGUAGUCCUGGCCCUAAACGAUGAAUGCUUGGUGUGGCGGGUAUCGAUCCCUGCCGUGCCGAAGCUAACG